GUGCUGAAAGCAUCUAAGCACGAAACUUGCCCCGAGAUGAGUUCUCCCUGAGACUAUAAGUCUCCUGAAGGAACGUUGAAGACGACGACGUUGAUAGGCCGGGUGUGUAAGCGCAGCGAUGCGUUGAGCUAACCGGUACUAAUGAACCGUGAGGCUUAACCUU
rnacentral:rRNA from 1 species